rnacentral:rRNA from 1 species
UCCAGUUUAUCCUGCUGGAGGUCACCGGUAUCGGAUUUCGAUUAAGCCAUGGAAGUUAUAGCGAGCCUUCGGGCGAGCUAAGCGUAAGGCUCAGUAACACACAGCUAACCUGCCCUAAAGUGGGGUAUAACCUCGGGAAACUGAGGCUAAUCCCCCAUAGACGGGGGGCACUGGAAGGUCCCCCUGUUCAAAGCGGCCGCAAGGUCGUGCUCUAGGAUGGGGCUGUGGCUCAUCAGGUAGUUGGCGAGAUAACGGCUCACCAAGCCUAUGACGGGUACGGGUCGUGAGAGCGAGAGCCCGGAGUUGGGUUCUGAGACAAGAAUCCAGGCCCUACGGGGUGCACCAGGCGCGAAACCUUCACAAUGCGGGAAACCGUGAUGAGGGGAAUCCGAGUGCUUAUUGGCAUCAUGCUGGUAAGCUUUUCUGGAGUCCAAAGAGCUUCAGGAAUAAGGACUGGGUAAGACCGGUGCCAGCCGCCGCGGUAACACCGGCGGUCCUACUGGUGACCAUAUUUACUGGGCCUAAAGCGUCCGUAGCCGGAUAGUCUAAUCCCUUGUGAAAUCCGUCAGCUUAACUGACGGGCGUGCUCGGGACACUUACUAUCUUGGGACCGGGAGAGGUAAGGGGUAUGCUCAGGGUAGGAGUAAAAUCCUAUAAUCCUGAGAAGACCCCCGGUGGCGAAAGCGCCUUACCAGAACGGCUCCGACGGUGAGGGACGAAGGCCAGGGUAGCGAACCGGAUUAGAUACCCGGGUAGUCCUGGCUGUAAACGAUGCGGACCAUGUCUUGCGACUCCUACGAGGGCUCGCAGGGCCGUAAUGAAGAUGUUAAGUCCGCCGCCUGGGGAGUAUGGCCGCAAGGCUGAAACUUGAAGGAAUUGGCGGGGGGGCACCACAAGGGGUGGGACCUGCGGUUCAAUUGGAUUCAACGCCGGGAACCUCACCUGAGCCGACGGCAGUAUGAUGGUCAGUCUGAAGGGCUUACCAGACAAGCCGAGGGGAGUUGCAUGGCCGCCGACAGCUCGUGCCAUGAGGUGUCCGCUUAAGUGCGGCAACGAGCGAGACCCGUGCCAUCAGUUGCUAAUCUAUCCUCCGGGAUGGAUGCACUCUGAUGGGACUGCCAGCGAUGAGUUGGAGGAAGGGGCGGGCGACGGUAGGUCAGUAUGGCCCUUCAUGCUCAGGGCUACACGCGGGUCACAAUGGUUAGGACAAUGGGAUGCCACUCCGUAAGGGGAAGCCAACCCCCUAAACCUAACCCUAGUUCAGAUUGAGGGCUGCAACCCGCCCUCAUGAAGCCGGAAUCCCCAGUAAUCGGGUGUCAACAACGCCCGGUGAAUACGUCCCUGCUCCUUGCACACACCGCCCGUCAAGCCACUUAAGUGAGCCUUGGGUGAGGCGACUCUCUUUGGGGUCGACGAGCCUGGGGUUUGUGAGAGGGGCUAAGUCGUAACAAGGUAGCCGUAGGGGAACCUACGGCUG